rnacentral:rRNA from 1 species
GAUGAACGCUGGCGGCGUGCCUAAUACAUGCAAGUCGAGCGAAUGGAUUAAGAGCUUGCUCUUAUGAAGUUAGCGGCGGACGGGUGAGUAACACGUGGGUAACCUGCCCAUAAGACUGGGGUAACUCCGGGAAACCGGGGCUAAUACCGGAUAACAUUUUGAACCGCAUGGUUCGAAAUUGAAAGGCGGCUUCGGCUGUCACUUAUGGAUGGACCCGCGUCGCAUUAGCCAGUUGGUGAGGUAACGGCUCACCAAGGCAACGAUGCGUAGCCGACCUGAGAGGGUGAUCGGCCACACUGGGACUGAGACACGGCCCAGACUCCUACGGGAGGUAGCAGUAGGGAAUCUUCCGCAAUGGACGAAGGUCUGACGGAGCAACGCCGCGUGAGUGAUGAAGGCUUUCGGGUCGUAAAACUCUGUUGUUAGGGAAGAACAAGUGCUAGUUGAAUAAGCUGGCACCUUGACGGUACCUAACCAGAAAGCCACGGCUAACUACGUGCCAGCCGCCGCCGUAA